UAUAUCACAUUUGGUUGUGGACAGGUUCAGAGUGGUUCAUUUCUGAACACUGCAGCUCCCAAUGGUUUAUUUGGGCUCGGCAUGGAGCAGAUUUCAGUUCCUAGCAUUUUAUCUAGGCAAGGUUUAGCAGCUGAUUCUUUCUCCAUGUGUUUUGGAUCUGAUGGAGUUGGAAGGAUCAGUUUUGGGGACAAAGGCAGUCCUGACCAAAAUGAGACCCCAUUCAAUCUGAAUCCAUCACAGCCAACCUAUAAUAUUACUGUGACUCAAAUUCGAGUAGGGACAACAUUAGUGGAUGCUGAUUUCACAGCUCUUUUUGAUUCUGGGACCUCCUUUACAUACUUAGUUGACCCAGCCUAUGCAACUGUUUCAGAGAACUUCCAUUCACAGGCAAAAGACAGGCUUCGUCCGCCUGAUCCCAGGAUCCCCUUUGAAUAUUG
rnacentral:misc_RNA from 1 species